rnacentral:rRNA from 1 species
AUACGGAGGGUGCAAGCGUUACUCGGAAUCACUGGGCGUAAAGGAUGCGUAGGCGGAUAAUCAAGUCAAAAGUGAAAUCCCACGGCUUAACCGUGGAACUGCUUUCGAAACUGGUUAUCUAGAGUAUGGAAGAGGCAGAUGGAAUUAGUGGUGUAGGGGUAAAAUCCGUAGAGAUCACUAGGAAUACCGAUUGCGAAGGCGAUCUGCUGGGACAUUAUUGACGCUGAGGCAUGAAAGCGUGGGGAGCAAACAGAAUUAGAAACCCCGGUAGUCC